AACGAGCGCUGGCGGCAGGCUUAACACAUGCAAGUCGAACGCACCUUUCGGGGUGAGUGGCAGACGGGUGAGUAACGCGUGGGAAUCUACCCUUCUCUACGGGAUAGCUCCGGGAAACUGGAAUUAAUACCGUAUACGUCCUGAGGGAGAAAGAUUUAUCGGGGAAGGAUGAGCCCGCGUUGGAUUAGCUAGUUGGUGGGGUAAAGGCCUACCAAGGCGACGAUCCAUAGCUGGUCUAAGAGGAUGAUCAGCCACAUUGGGACUGAGACACGGCCCAAACUCCUACGGGAAGCAGCAGUGGGGAAUAUUGGACAAUGGGCGCAAGCCUGAUCCAGCCAUGCCGCGUGAGUGAUGAAGGCCAUAGGGUUGUAAAGCUCUUUCAGUGGGGACGAUAAUGACGGUACCCACAGAAGAAGCCCCGGCUAACUUCGUG
rnacentral:rRNA from 1 species